AGAAAUGGGCUAUGUCACCCGAGAGGCUAUAAAAGGCAGGCUCGCAUCCGGCUCGGGGUCUUUCCGCCAUCUUGAAGAAUGCAGAAGAACCUCCAAUAAAGCGUGCUUCAGCGUGCUCCUUGCUGGCGAGGUGCAGAGAUCUGUGAAGGACUUCACAUUAUAAUCCAGUUUCUCCUGAUAAAAUAAAGAACUGGACAACACUGAGCAUCAAGGCAAUGAUCACCAGGAAUGGAUUUACCUCUCUGUCUUGAGAUAACUUUCUUUCCUGACACUACAAUCUCUGUUGGUAACUUCUCUCACAUGGGUUACACCUUUGCCUU
rnacentral:lncRNA from 1 species